GCCACAUUUUUCAACACGCACGCAUCCACGCACGCACACGGAAGAGAAGUUCAACUUCAAAGGCGAACGUUCCAGCCAGGUUGCCUCUGCAGGGGCGGUCGGAUCACAGCCCAACCAAAUGAUCAAAGUUAUUCCCACUUCCAGAUUUCAAUGACUUCUACGAAAUUGGAUAUGUUCCUCGGAGAUCCGUCAUAAACCGGGUGCAACUGCAAGAAACGCCACAGUGUGCGGAACACGAGUGCUCCAAACUCCAUGUGAUCCUCAUGUGAAGUCGGUCAACUUGAGCGACGGCGUGCACAGUUCACCCACACCGUCCCACUAAUCUUCUCUCCCGUGUCCGUGACUCCGUGUGACGCUGCUUGCACACUAAGGGGGUUCUCAUUUACUUACUCCCGCUACCUGCUCAUUCGGCAUGCUGCCUUCAGGGCCACUUCGUCAUCGGCGAGGAUUUGUCGGGACAUAAAAAAGAGCGGCAAUAUGAACCGAUUGUUAGAUUGGAAUUAAACACGAAAUUAAAUAUACUUGCGUUAUAUGCUA